CUACGGGAGGCAGCAGUGAGGAAUAUUGGACAAUGGGCGCAAGCCUGAUCCAGCCAUGCCGCGUGCAGGAUGACGGUCCUAUGGAUUGUAAACUGCUUUUGCACAGGAAGAAACAACAUUACGUGUAAUGUCUUGACGGUACUGUGAGAAUAAGGAUCGGCUAACUCCGUGCCAGCAGCCGCGGUAAUACGGAGGAUCCAAGCGUUAUCCGGAAUCAUUGGGUUUAAAGGGUCCGUAGGCGGUCUUAUAAGUCAGUGGUGAAAUCUCCCCGCUCAACGGGGAAACGGCCAUUGAUACUGUAGGACUUGAAUUAUUAGGAAGUAACUAGAAUAUGUAGUGUAGCGGUGAAAUGCUUAGAGAUUACAUGGAAUACCAAUUGCGAAGGCAGGUUACUACUAAUGGAUUGACGCUGAUGGACGAAAGCGUGGGUAGCGAACAGGAUUAGAUACCCUGGUAGC
rnacentral:rRNA from 1 species